GAUGAACGCUGGCGGCGUGCCUAAUACAUGCAAGUCGAGCGAACAGACGAGGCGCUUGCUCCUCUCACGAUAGCGGCGGACGGGUGAGUAACACGUGUAUACCCUACUUAUAAUACUGGGAUAACUUCGGGAAACCGGAGCUAAUACCGGAUAAUCUAUUGAACCGCAUGGUUCAAUAGUGAAAGACGGUUUUGCUGGCACUUCUAGAUGGAUCCGCGCCGCAUUGGCUAGUUGGUAAGGUAACGGCUUACCAAGGCAACGAUGCGUAGCCGACCUGAGAGGGUGGUCGGCGACACGGGAGCGGAGACGCGGACCAGACUCCUGCGGGAGGCAGCAGAAGGGUAUCUUCGGCAGUAGGCGAAAGCUUGGCGGAACAACGCCGCGUGAGUGGUAGAGGUCUUCGGAGCGGAAUACUCGGUUAUGAGGGGAAAACAAAUGUGUAAGUAACUAUGCCCGUCUUGACGGUACCUGGUCAGAAAGCCACGGCUAACUACGUG
rnacentral:rRNA from 1 species